rnacentral:rRNA from 1 species
AUGGCGGCGGCGAAUCUGGGCGCCUGGCUCUGCGCGCUGGUAGUGGUGGCACUGGCCGUCCUCCCGGCGGCGGACGCGCUGGGGAUGAACUGGGGCACGCAGGCCACGCACCCGCUCUCGCCCAGGAUCGUCGUGCAGUUGCUCAGGGACAACGGCAUCAAGAAGGUGAAACUGUUCGACGCCGACCAGGGCACCCUCAACGCGCUCGCCGGCACCGACAUCGAGGUCAUGGUCGCCAUCCCCAACAACCUGCUCGACAUCAUGAACGACAAGGACAACGCCAGGGACUGGGUGCGCCACAACGUCUCCCGCUACCACUUCGACGGCGGCGUCAACAUCAAGUAUGUGGCCGUAGGCAAUGAACCCUUCCUGGCGUCCUACAACGGCACCUUCGACAAGGUCACCUUCCCGGCGCUGCAGAACAUCCAGAACGCGCUCAACGACGCCGGAUUCAGCGAGAUCAAGGCCACCGUGCCGCUCAACGCCGACGUCUACAACUCGCCCGCCAACAACCAGGUGCCGUCGGCGGGCCGCUUCCGGACGGACGUCGCCCCGCUCAUGACGCAGAUGGUGCAGUUCCUGGCCAACAACAGCGCCCCCUUCACCGUCAACAUCUACCCCUACCUCAGCCUCUACCUCAGCGAGGACUUCCCCGUCGACUUCGCCUUCUUCGACGGCCUCGCCAAGCCGCUGGUCGACGGCGUCAACACCUACACCAACGUGUUCGACGCCAACUUCGACACGCUGGUGUCCGCGCUCGCCGCCGUCGGCCACGGCGACCUGCCCAUCGUCAUCGGCGAGGUCGGCUGGCCGACGGACGGCGACAAGCACGCCACCAACGCCCUCGCCAAGCGCUUCUACGACGGCCUGCUGCCGCGGCUGGCGGCCAACACCGGCACGCCGCUCCGGCCCAAACAGUACAUGGAGGUGUACCUGUUCGGGCUCCUGGACGAGGACGUCAAGAGCGUGGCGCCGGGCGCGUUCGAGCGGCACUGGGGCGUGCUCCGCUUCGACGGCCAGCCCAAGUUCCCCAUGGACCUCACCGGCAACGGGCAGAACACCAUGCUGGUGCCGGCCAAGGGCGUGCAGUACCUGCCCAGGACGUGGUGCGUGUACAACCCCAACGCCGAGGACAAGAGCAAGCUGGUGGAGAACGUGAACUACGCCUGCACCUUCGCCGACUGCACGGCGCUCGGCCUCGGCUCCACCUGCUACGGCAUGGACGCCAAUGGCAACGCCUCCUACGCCUUCAACAUGUACUUCCAGGUGCAGAACCAGAAGGACGAGGCGUGCGACUUCCAGGCGCUCGCCGUGCCCACGCAGACCGACCCCUCCACCGCCGCCUGCAACUUCCCCAUACAGAUCGCCGCCUCCUCGACGUCGAGUGGCCACCGGCGAGCACGCGCCGGGCCGCUCGGCGCCGCCGCUCUGCUCGUUCUCCUGGCUCUGGUCCAGCUCUUGGUGUCGCAUUAG